GCGCGGCUGAGGAGCGUURGGAGCUGCUGCGGCUCCGGAAGGAAUACUGUCGCUAGGCCGCGAAUAAACCGCGUGUAGCGUUUAGGGUCUGCUCAGAUCGUUCCUUAAGCUAAGCGUGUUUUGUCUCUGUCGUGCUAAAGAAUUUCGGACUGUAGGUUGAAUGGCGUUGGGGGUUGACUUGGCAUCUUUUUGCACCUCUGUGGGUGGGUGAGGCGYCCACCGUUAUCCUGGGCAGUUUGGGGAGGUGGUGUUAGGCCACAUUCUAAAUGKGCUCUUGGAAACUUGUCAGCUGACUGUCGUGACUUGUGCCAUAUAUAGAAUUGUCCAGGGGAAAUCACACAUAGAAUCACAAAACGAAUUAGGCUGGAAAAGGCCUGUGAGGUCAUCGAGUCCAACCUUUGACUGAACACCACAAUGCCAAUUACACCAUGGCACAAAGGGCUGCCUCUAGUCCUUCCUUAAGCACCAAAGCAAUCCUGUGGAGCUUGGAAAACCCUGUUUCAUUAGCUAGCUUCUCUGGUCCUAAAAAAAAGAUUAAUCCCUUUGAGAGAAAACAUUUUCCUAUCAAUUAGAAUUCUAUGAGGCUUUUUAUUACCAACUAAUUAAACAUGUUUCAGAUUCUCACAAAGUAAUAGAAUAAAAUAGAAUGUGUUUCAUUCCUACUAAACUAAUGUACAAGUAUUUACACUUAUACUAAACACUAAACAUUAAUGCAAGUGUAAGGCAGAAGCCAGAUCUUGGAUUUGCAGAAGACUUGGAGAUAACUGCUUUUUUAUUUUUAAUGUAGUUUUUCUUAAUGUUUGUUUGUUCUUUACACAGUUUAAACAUAAAGAGCAAGAGUAGUCUGUAAUUUGCAUUGUUUUGUUGUCUCGUGUUUUAUUUUGUAUGAUGUUUUACUUUUCUUUGACCAGCAUUUGCCAUUACAGGUUUAAAUAGAGCCGUAGGGGGGAGUACUUGUGGAAUUUUGCUGUCAAGUGUGAAGAUUCCACUUGCACUCAGCAGCUGCUGCGGUUUCCCUGCCUCUUGUASAUGACCAAACCCACGGCAGAACUGGCAUCUCCCCGUCUGUUCUGGGGCAAAGUGUGACAUCUUUGUUCAGCCCCCACCCUGCCGUGGCUUUAAAAUGAGGAUGUUCUGUCUACUGUUUCUGGUCUCGCCUUUCCUUACAUGGUUCUGUUCUUCAGCAUGUCUCCUGGACAAUGGCAAGGGAGAGCCCAGAGCACAGUAAGGCACUUCUCCUUUACCCAAUUUAAGGAAUUAAAUUUGCAAGUUUUGUUCAGCACAAAAGGGGGACUUCUUGGCAAUUCUGUCUCUUAAUAAAGUGUGACUUCAGAGUUUUCCAACACUAAAUAAACUUAAGGCAGCGAAAAUGCACUCUCAGCCUUAUAUGGAUAUCCAAUAGAGUUCAAAUUAUUGUUCAAAAGAACUGUAGCUUUCUAAGUAAACUUAUWUAGUAUUCGUUCUUUCAGCAAAAUAAUAUAUUCUUGGGUUUUGUCCUCAUAGAUUACGCUCCUUUGGCUUUGACCUGAAACAACGAUGUAACUGUUAGUAGAAGUUUUGCUGUCUCCCCACUGCGGCCCUCAAAGCAGUAAAUGGGACUUCAGAUAAAAGCUGUGUCGCAGUAGGAGGUUUGCAUCUUUCCCCUUGGACUUUGUGUCAGUCUGCAAGGAAAGAAAUUUAGUGAGCAGAGGAAGAAGAGUGCUGGGCUGGAAGUGAGCAGGAGCUCUCCUACCAACCAAGAUAACCACAAAGCCAAAGGACCCAUCUGGUGGUGGUCCUUGGCCUCUCAACUCAACAGCUGGGGCUGUUCUCCCAGCUGAGAGUGACUCUGCUUGCCCUGGAGCAAGGGAGUCAAACCUGUUCAGUCAUCUGCAACCCCAAGGAGGAGGUAACAAAAUGCAAGGUAAAGCAAAAAUUAACAAACAAUGUAACAAUACACAAGUUGCCCACCUUUCCUAGGAAAGAUGACAACUCACUGYCUUUGACUGGGGAGCUGAAGCAAUUGGACUCUUCCUUUGAAGCAUGUGUUGAACUGGGACUGCUUGAGUCUCAGCCAUCGUUGCAGAGGAGCAGAGCAGAAGCACUGGCUGCUGGAGUCUGUGGCACAUGCUGCCUGCUUGUGGGUGGCUUAGAGRCAUGUGAGUGUUUUGGUGCUUUUUUGCUUUUAGAAAUGUUCAUCCUGCUCUGAGCAUCCAUUCCUCAGUGUCCAUCCCUACCUUGCAUGCACCUGCCCAGCUUACGGGCGUUGUAUUGAGAAAUCCCAAAUGCGUAGCUGUUCAUGCGAGCUUGCAUGAGCCAUUGAUGGCUGGUGAUUCUUMACUACAGUAGAAUGAGCACAGUGAAACCCAAAGAGAUAGGAAAAUGAAAUAGAAACAGCUACUAAAAAUGUAAUUGCAAAAGCAAUCCAAAGGAAUACAUAAAUGUAGAAAAAACCCACAUCUUUUCAUACACUGCAAGCUGCCAGUUUUUGAAAGCAUCAGGAAACAAGCUGUUGAGCAGUGGAAUGGAUAAAACCAGGCUCCCAACCUCUGCUGAGCUGCCUGGCCUGUGAAAUCUCACUGCCAGUGCUGCUGCUGCUGGGCCAGAGGCAGGCGGUGGUGUGACCACCCUAGUUGUGCCCACAUGCUGAGGGGUGGCUGGAGCAUGUGCCACCAGACCAAGCUCUUACCAGGUGAGCUCAGCCUCCCUCCAAUGGACCGUUCUUCUCUGCCCAGCUAUCAAUUUUCAGUCAAUUUAUUAGAACUCCACUGUAUCUGAGGCAUCUUGACCAAAUUUGACCAAGGUUAUCUAGGGAUAUCAGGGAAAAAAUCAUUCAGUCAGGCCUUGGGAUUAUACAAGUCUCUUGCCUUUAUAAAAUGCAGACUGAAUUUAAAUCCAGAGCUCAGAAAAGUAGCUCUUGCAGGGUGCCAGAGACUGAGACAAGUGAUGUGCAUUGUGCCCUCAGGCACCCAGAACUUUUGCUAAAUGUGACACUGAGCUGGGCAUGCAGCACCAGGGGCAAUAUCCAGCCAGCACAGAGACAGCCAACCCGGUGCAGAUCUUCACCUGGUGAGAAUCUGCUGCUGCCAUCUUCAGUCUGGGUUGUGCCUACUGUGAGGUGUGAGGGCCUCCAACAGGUCAGAUGCCCCAGUGCUGAGAGCAGGGAUGCUCAGGGGCUUCAGUGGUCUGGAGUGUGAAAGUCUUCGUGAGCAUGCACUUGCAUUUGGAUAGAUAGAAAUGCAAAGUCAGACAACAGGGCUUUGAUAGUCACAAGGAUCUGACUUACGCAUGGAUAUAGACUGGUUUCCUCUAGUUGGUUAGGGUUUUUUUUCCAGGUAUUUUUCUCUGUAAGAACAAGUCUGUUUCAUCCAGCUGCACCUUUCAGCUCUGCUGCUGAUGUUUUUGUGUUCUCUGCCUGUGGUACAUGCUGCAUGGGCAUGAAUAAGCAGGUAUCAGCACAGCACAUGGGCAAACUCACAAGGGAUCUGCAGAAAACAGUGAGCACAGUGAUCCAAAAUCAUCUUCCAUAUCAUGUUGGCAAAGAGCAAAGCCCAAGGGCAUUGAUGCCAGCUAGCAUAGCUGAGCAGGGAGGGAUGGGGGAGUUSUAACUCCUCCAUGUCUUGUCUGACAUCACUUGCCCUGUGGGGCUCAUGCUGUUGAGCAGUCCCUGUGCUCCCUAGUGUUGCAGCCAACUUCACAUGGCAGCAGCACAGCUUCCCUGGUGAGAAAAGGAGGUUAACAACAGCCUCUGCUUCCUGCAAUAGUGCCACUGCAGCCAGGUUACUGGUUUCAAAAACAGUUUGUCACUGGUUCAGCUGUUUUGCAUAAGACCUGGCUGGGCAGCUCAGACUAAACAGCUUCAAUUUCUUCCCCAGGGCACAGCCAAGAUGUUGCCAGAUUAUUAUCCARUGACUUGCCAAACCCAAGUUGAAGUCAUUAAAUUGCAAGCCUGGGUGGACAACAAGCUGUCCAUGAGUCAGUAGUGCCCUUGUGGCCAAGAUAGCCACAGUUGUCCUGGAGUGCAUUAGGAUAGGGCACCAGGAGGUCAAGGGAGGUGAUCCUGUCCUUUGCUCAGCCCUAGUGAGGCCUCACCUGGAGUGCUGUGUCCAGUUCUGAGCUUUCCAGUUCAAGAAAGACCAGGACAUACUGGAGAGGGUCCAACAGAGGGUAAUGGAGGUGAUUCACAGAAUCUCAGGGUUGGUUAGGGUUGGAAGUAGCCUCUGGAGAUGAUCUAGUCCAAUUGAUUAGGGGUUUGGAGCACCUCAGUUAUGAGGAAAGGCUGAAGGAUCUUCCCCUGUUUAGCCUGGAGAGGCGAAAACUGAAUGGGCACCUCAUCAUUGUGUACAAGUAUCUGAAGGGAGGGUGUCAACAGGAUGGAGUCAGACUCUUCCUGUCGGUUCCAAGCGAUAGGACAAGGGCAGAAACUGAUGCACAGAAAGUUCCACCUGAACAUGAGGGAGAACUUUACUGUGAGGCUGACAGAGCACUGGAGCAGGCUGUUCAGAGAGGCUGUGGAGUCUCCUMCAGGAAUGAUUCAAAAGCCACCUGGACACAAUCCUGAGUAAUGUGCUCUGGCGACCCAGCUCAUGCAGGGAGGUGGAACUAGAUGAUCUCCGGUGGUUCCUUCCAAUCUUACCCAUUCCGUGAUUCUGUGAAGGAUUCACAGCUACCCUUGGGCUACAGGAAUACGGAACUGAAAAUGAAUGUUGCUGGCUUCCCAUGGCUCUUGAUUCUYACUUUGAGUAAUUCUUUCAUUUUGAGAGUGGAAACAAUCCUGUAUUCCGGUCCAGAAGGAUCAACCCCAGGAAGGCAUGAGUGUCCCAAAACAGAUCACUCCAUAGGAAAUUCUGCUGCUAUAUAGCUUUGGCUUACCUGAUUUUCUGUAUAAGUUCAUAUGCUUGCCCCACCUUCACUUCUUUAUCCUGGAUGAAACCUUAUGCCAGCAUUGCCAAAUGGUGGCUGUUUAAGAUUGGAGCACCAAAAUGAAAGGCUUUCUUUUCUGCAUUUUAUUCCCAUGGAGAGGUAUUUGCCUAGAGGAUUUACUUGAUGUCCAGCUACCUGUACCUGGCACUCAUCUCAGCUCUUCAGUUUUCCUGCCUUUCCCCUUUUCAUCUUUGUUCUUAUUGCUGGGUCCACAUAACAGCCAGCAUUUUUUAUAGCCAGGAUGUUCCAGUAAUUCCCACUGCCAGGGAGCAAGCAGGGGCCCUGACAUGUAUUGUUUGGCUUCUCAGAAAGCAGGGUUGUGUGGGGAGAACCUGCAGCAGGCAGCAAUACACAACCAGUUGUGCAACUCCCUUCCCUGAAGGAAAGACUUUGCCGUUACCUACACAGAGCAAGUCUGAGCAGCCAGUGCUCCUUCCCCUCUGCUGUCCCCUGGCUGUGCCAUGGGGCAAGAAAACAGGGAAGGAGAUGUCCUGGAAAUGCUGAGUCCUGGCUAAGACAACAGCCUGCUAGCACGUUGUGCAGGCAGGGCACAGUUUUGAGCCAUCUCCAACACCUCUGAGCAAUUUGCAGGAAGUAAUAGAUGCCAGCCAAAGGGCCAUGGGGAGAACUGAA